UUGAUUCAUGAUUUACCAAAGAGCGGACUAGUAUAGCCACGAAUACUCGAAAAACAUGUCAGCAUUUUUGAAAACACUACAGAUACUAUUCAUACUACUGGCAAUCACCAGAAAGAUGGCUGCAGCAUCUGAAUCUACACACCUCCUGAAAAGAGAAUCCCGUGCUGUUGCGAGACUAUUCACACCGGCCGUCAAUUCUGCUCUGUCGGUCUCGAAUACAGUUUUAACAACGAUAUGCAGCAGUGUAAGAACCUUAACCUCACUCAUUGAGGUUCUGAUUCGUACGAUUAUAAUUUCUCUGGUGAAUGUAGUCAAUGCACUGUCGUCAACGUUGGGAACGAUCUUUCCGCAAAUUAUUGCGCCAGUAGCGGUGGUGCAAAAUGUAUUGACUUUCGCGAAUCAGACAUUGUCGAAUACAACUAAUCUGGCGGCUACUUUUGGGUGCACUGUUACCAGUGGAAUUGGUUCUGUUAUCAAUACUGUGGGAAGUAUCAUUAUAAGUAUUCCAUGAGAAAAUAUAUUUUUAAGCCUCA